rnacentral:misc_RNA from 1 species
UUUAGUUUGUAUCAUACAAAUCUAAAUUUGGAGUGUUAAACAGUUUUAAGCCUUAAAGUACAUUUUUCUUCAUAGUUUUUGAGUGUUAAUGAGUAGGCUAGAAUUGUCAGUUGCUGUGCAUCAUAUGGUUCUAAAAUCAUCAGCAUUGUUAUAAUCAUGCCUAAACAACAGUAUGACUGAAAUGCUUGUAUAUUUUCUUUCAUUUAUUUUAGCAAUAUGACUUUUAAAUCUUUUUUUGUUCUCUGGCAGUUCAUUCAAGUAUUUUAGCUGGAAACUUUUAGGAUGUGACUUGGGUUGAAUUAAUUUAAUUUUCAUGAGUGAUAGCUUGAACAUGUGAUAGCAUUGUGUAUUAGGUGCACAGGUGGAAGGAGAAGUUGAGAUGUUGCAUUGAUUUCUUGCUGUUUUCUAGUGCAAUGAAAAAGGUUAUAUUUAAUAGAUGAUAAUGGA